GCACAAUGAGCACUCUACUACUAUAUUAGAUAAGUAUUCUAGAGCACACUCUGUCUAAGUAAAUCACCAAUUAAUGCUAAAGCCCUCCAGCUCACUAGUACCCCAAUUAUGAAGGAAAUGGACACUCCAGAAAUGAUGAUUAACUAUAAAAUAAGCAGAAGACAAAGUUAGAUAUGAUCCAAUCCAAACCCAUAUAGUUUGUUGUUGAACUAACCCACAUCAAUUUCUUGCUUAAAAUAUCAAAGCUAACUCAUAAAAGAAUGGACAUUUUGGAAGGCAGCAAAUCGACUCUGAUUUCGUCCAUUGUGUCCAUUAUUUCUUCUUCUCGAAAGAAAAAAUAAAGGAUUAAAACUUAAUGGACAUGUAUUCAUGGCUUUGGCUAAGCUUUUAUUUUUCUGGGUUGGAUUUGUAAGACGAGAUAACCCUAGGUAGGGGAUAAAGAUUGAGUUUUUUUUUUUUUGUUGGGAAAUUGACACAGAGAUGGGUUUCGCGAGAGAGGGAGAAACAGAGUGGUGGUGGCCACGGUGGAGAGAUAAAACGCUGAGAGAGGAAGAGAGAACACAAAGAGCGAAGUCAGAAGUGUUCGGUCAGCAGUCAAUGGCCAAUAACUUCACAAUAGAUAUGCUUUUAUAUGGAGGGCAAUUAGGUAAUUUCAAGUGUCCAAGUGAUUAUAUCAAAAUAAGAUUUGUAAAGUGAUCAUUUGAAAAGUGAUUAUAUCAGCAUAUUUCUCAGAACUUUU
rnacentral:lncRNA from 1 species